rnacentral:rRNA from 1 species
ACGAACGCUGGCGGCAUGCCUAACACAUGCAAGUCGAACGAGACCUUCGGGUCUAGUGGCGCACGGGUGCGUAACGCGUGGGAAUCUGCCCUUGGGUUCGGAAUAACUCCUCGAAAGGGGUGCUAAUACCGGAUAAUGUCGCAAGACCAAAGAUUUAUCGCCCAAGGAUGAGCCCGCGUAGGAUUAGCUUGUUGGUGAGGUAAAAGCUCACCAAGGCGACGAUCCUUAGCUGGUCUGAGAGGAUGAUCAGCCACACUGGGACUGAGACACGGCCCAGACUCCUACGGGAGGCAGCAGUGGGGAAUAUUGGACAAUGGGCGAAAGCCUGAUCCAGCAAUGCCGCGUGAGUGAUGAAGGCCUUAGGGUUGUAAAGCUCUUUUACCCGGGAUGAUAAUGACAGUACCGGGAGAAUAAGCCCCGGCUAACUCCGU